GGGGGUUUAGCUCAGCUGGUAGAGCACCUGCUUUGCAAGCAGGGGGUCACCGGUUCGAGUCCGGUAACCUCCACCA
rnacentral:tRNA from 3 species